rnacentral:snRNA from 1 species
AGCUUUGCACAAUGGCAGUAUCGUGGCCAAUGAGGUUUAUCCGAGGUGCGAUUAUUGCUAAUUUUAUAUAUAUAUAUAAUUUUAUAUAAAAUUUAAAAAGCUGCUGAGUAAUUCUGGAUUUUGUUCUUAAAA